rnacentral:tRNA from 1 species
AAAAAUUUAGUUAAUUUAUAACGCUAAUUUGUCAAAUUAGAAUAAUUAUUAUAUAAUAAUUUUUA